UGCGCCCGGUGAAUCAUCCAGCGUUCUCGCUGGUGCACUUUGCCGGGCACAGGCCAGCAUCAGUUUGGCGCGGGGAACAAAGGCUUCGGGAAUGUGGCUCCCUCGGGAGUGUUAUAGCCCGCUGCGUAAUACCCUGCGCCGGACUGAGGUACGCGCAUCGCAAGGAUGCUGGCGUAAUGGUCAUCAGCG
rnacentral:rRNA from 1 species